rnacentral:sRNA from 1 species
AGGACAGGGAACGGGGCUGUGGGCCGCUCAGACCCUGCGCCCUCUCCCCGCAGCGGCUUUGGCCGGGCUCCAGGAGCAACGGGUGUAUGCGCUUCACCUGAGGCGCUACAAUGACGCGCUGCUCAUCCAUGACACCGUCCGCGCCGUGGAUGCCUUGGCUGCGCUGCAGGAUUUCUAUCACAGGGAGCACGUCACUAAAACCCAGAUCCUGUGUGCCGAGCGCCGGCUGCUGGCCCUGUUCGAUGAGGGACCAGCAAGAAGUGAUCCGGAAGUUCCGAGAUGGAACCCUGAACCUUCUGGUGGCCACGAGUGUGGCGGAGGAGGGGCUGGACAUCCCACAUUGCAAUGUGGUGGUGCGUUAUGGGCUCCUGACCAAUGAAAUCUCCAUGGUCCAGGCCAGGGGCCGUGCCCGGGCCGAUCAGAGUGUUUACUCGUUUGUAGCAACUGAGGGUAGCCGGGAGCUGAAGCGGGAGCUGAUCAACGAGGCGCUGGAGACGCUGAUGGAGCAGGCAGUGGCUGCUGUGCAGAAAAUGGACCAGGCUGAGUACCAGGCCAAGAUCCGGGAUCUGCAGCAGGCAGCCCUGACCAAGCGGGCGGCCCAGGCAGCCCAGCGGGAGAACCAGCGGCGGCAGUUCCCAGUGGAGCACGUGCAGCUACUCUGCAUCAACUGCAUGGUGGCCGUGGGCCACGGCAGCGACCUGCGGAAGGUGGAGGGCACCCACCAUGUCAACGUGAACCCCAGCUUCUC